CACGUACUUGGCAGCCCAGUGAGCUGUCUACCGGAUCGCAGCGUUUAGAAGCGCCAAAUGCGGCAGGGCCAGUCUCAGGCUGGUCGCGUAGGCGGCAGGCCGGCGGGCGACCGGCAAGGCUGCAUUCGCAUUUGGAUCACCGAAGUGAUACAGGUGCUUCGACGGCACUCCGUGGCGCAUCAAGGAGGCAUCUGGGGCCCAGGCAGCCCGCCCGUAAGCGCACCACCGUAUCAGGUAUGCGCAGGUGGAGCAGCAGAGCAAGAUGUGUGCCGGACACUCACCAUCAUCCGGUCGACUGCAUGGUUGUGCGACUUUACACAGCCGUCACUCAUUACUUGCUAUUGCUUGCAGAAGGCCAGAAUUUUUUUGCUCUCGUUUACUCUAAAGCUAGUUGGUUUACAUGGUUUAUGCCCGUACCUGAGCAUGGAUCCUACUCAGCAGCGGAUCGCUGGUAUUCCUCGUUUGAGACCGCGGCGACGGCAGCGUCGGCCCUGACCAACAACCCUCGGGCGAUGAGCAUGCCGGCCGAAAAUGCAGGCAUGGACACUGUCGUGUAUGACCAGUUUAGUUGAGUUCCUUGGAGGCGCUAUGAUGCCGGCCGGCGCAUGUGUUGGCGCACGGGAGACGAUUAGGACAAUACGGCGUGCGGAAUACUUCGAGCUGGCCACAAUGCUUCCUUCCCGUCCUGCCCACACGCAGCCAGCAGCCAAACGUGUUAGAAUCGAUCAAUCCGAUGGCAAUCACCGAAUGGAAUUGUCAUUGGCGGCUCCUCUUCUGGCAAGAGAAAAACUGAAUCUCUAAUCUAACUGGGUCGAGGCCUGGCAGACUUUCAGAACCAUCGCGCCUUGCAACACGAGCUUACGCCCUCUGGGGCCCUAAGUAGUCCGACAAGAAAUUCAUACUGCACGGCGACAAAAGGCAGUUGGAGCAGUCUGAAAUCCGGGACUUGCCGAAAUCCAACCGUGACGGAACUAGCCCACUUCAGCCCCCGCAUGGUAGCAGAACACAAGGCUUAUCUCGCUGACUACCCAUAUUACGGUCAAGGACAACUCCGCUGCGGACGCUCUUUCACGCGGACGAUUAGUCCAUUUCCUCUCAUCGGCUCCCUAAUCCAGCUGCUCGACUCGGCUUAGUCCCGAACUCAUGCUAUGCGGGAGCAACUAAUCAUGGCAGCAAACCGGCUGAACUUCUUCUCAACCAAUGCGUGCCUCCUUUUUCAUUCGCUGUGUAGUCUAUCUCUCUCAGCACACGUGGCUAACCAACGAGAUGAGGAUGGUCAUUGUCAUUUUCUAAGCUGCGAACGGGCAGAAAGCUACACAACAAGAUGAGGAUGGUCAUUGUCAUUUUCUGAGCUGCGAACGGGCAGAAAG